GACGAACGCUGGCGGCGUGCUUAACACAUGCAAGUCGAACGGAAAGGCCCUGCUUUUGUGGGGUGCUCGAGUGGCGAACGGGUGAGUAUCACGUGAGUAACCUGCCCUUGACUUUGGGAUAACUUCAGGAAACUGGGGCUAAUACCGGAUAGGAGCUCCUGCUGCAUGGUGGGGGUUGGAAAGUUUCGGCGGUUGGGGAUGGACUCGCGGCUUAUCAGCUUGUUGGUGGGGUAGUGGCUUACCAAGGCUUUGACGGGUAGCCGGCCUGAGAGGGUGACCGGCCACAUUGGGACUGAGAUACGGCCCAGACUCCUACGGGAGGCAGCAGUGGGGAAUAUUGCACAAUGGGCGGAAGCCUGAUGCAGUAACGCCGCGUGCGGGAUGACGGCCUUCGGGUUGUAAACCGCUUUCGCCUGUGACGAAGCGUGAGUGACGGUAAUGGGUAAAGAAGCACCGGCUAACUACGUG
rnacentral:rRNA from 1 species